UGAAAUGCCUCCACCUGGGGGCACGCGGCACCGUAUCGCAGGAGAGCAAUUCUCCAUCCUCAUCCUUUCCACCAUCACCGAGCCCUAUUUGCACAAACUACUCAGGCAAGGAGAACAGCGGCCCGAAGCGUUUUGUUCCUUGACCUCAGCAAUGCACGCUCCCCAGGAUCUCAGCGCCUGCUGAUGUUAUCAGCCUCAAACGCCUCCUGUCGCUCAGGGCACCUCCAGCAUCACCACCCAGCCGUUGCAGUCUGACGGCUGCUCUCGGUGCUGUGCAACGAAGCCGUGCACGCAGCAGCAAACCCAAGGAUGCUUCAGGAUUCACUGCUUGCUCUCCUCCCAGCCUCACCCCAUAAACAUCCCAGCUACGUGGAAAACAACAGCAAUAAGAACAGAAAAACAACCCCUGCAAGAUCCCAGCUCUGCAUUCCUCUGUUCCUUCCUCCAGGCCACGUCCAAAGCUUGGAUAAACAGAACUGGGCACGAGAAAACCUCCAAACCUCCAACCCCCCUCACAACGAGAGGCACCGAGAGCAGCACAUCCAGCACGGCGCCGCCGGAACCACGCGCAGAGCUCGGCUCCGAGCACGCGGGGACCCCCGGCAGCCCAGCGCGGAGCCCUGCGGGGACGCAGAGCCCAGCACCGUGCCGACCUGCGGGGACACGCAGCUCCCCGCCCCGCAGCACGGCGAUGCGACGGAGCUGCUCGGCCUCCGGCUCGCUCCGCACGCCGAAUUUCACCCCGCUGCCCUUCGGGCCGCCCCGGGGCAGCGCUCGCGGCUCAGCCCAUCACUCAAGGCAGCUCAACGCGAUGCAGCACGGAGCGAAUCCCGACAAGCCGGUACCUUUUUGGGCGCUUUGGUGACGGUGGCCAUGAAGGAAAACUUCUCGGCGUCCUCCGCUUCCUUGGCCUGCUUCGCCUCCUCGCCGCCGGCGGGCUCCGGGACC